rnacentral:lncRNA from 1 species
UUUACACUAGCUUUUCAAUUACUCAGAAUAUUUAUAACAUAGAAGCCCAAUAUCAAUAGCUUACAUGAAGAUUUUACAAAGUCACACAUCAUACAAUUCCAUAGAAUUUACAUACAGGAACCAAAAGUCAACGAAAACAGAGGUGCGACAUCAUAAAAUACACAAGUGCAUCAACUAAAUACUCACAACGUGAGAUCUCAUUUUCUGUAAUGUUUUUCUGUAGCUUAAGUUGCAAGCUUCUUUUCAAGGUUACCCUGCAGUGGAUAUAAUCGAGCUUGAAAACAUGUAACAAGAAAUAGGAAAAUAUUUAUAAGAUAUAAUUAGCAUAAUCUAUUUGAUAUCUCAGUUUCUCACAAUAACAUUGGCAUAUAUAUCCUACCUGUUUUUGUCAGAUCAAAGUUAUCCAGUUUUACAGGACACAACAAUGGAGUAAUUUGUUCUAGCAUCAUAUACAGACCAUGCAACUGACAAAAUCCAUUCAAAUGACAAGCUGAGUUUCUGGAUUAGUUGGAAAGAACUAUCAGCUAACAGCCUGAGUAGAUAAGUUAUUAGAGGCUUCUUGCAAGUAUUGUAUAACGACAUGGAGUCAAAUAUAUCCAUUUCAGAUUUUCCAAAAAACAAGGGCAGUCGUCAUCUUCUCCAUAAUAAUAAAAAACCAAAGCAUUAUGCAAUUAUUCGAUAAUGUAACAACAGGGAACGACAUCUCUUCAUUCAGAAGAAUAUGUAGAAUUUCUUGCCUUGGUUGAAAACCUUAACUUCUUGCAGCCUCUCCUUGUUGUACAGAUAAUUUAGCUUGUACUUGCCAUGGAGCUGCUCAUUGCUUCCUAAAUCAUACAUAAUGAAGCAUGAAACCAAAUGGCAUGGACAAACAGAACUCAAGAACACAAUUUUACAGUACUGCAUAGUGACUAGUGAGACAAUAAAAGACCGCAAAGAAAUAGAAAGAGGCUAGUGCCUAGUGGCAAUGCUACAAACAAAUGGCAGGUUGGGACAGGAUGAAUGGAACGUGUGGUGCAUUCAUGCCAUCAACUCUUCACCGGACAUAAAUUUAUCAAAUUGCAGUCGGGUUAACAAAAAAUUAUUCACUAGAUGCAAUUUAACACUCAGAUUGAUGUUAUGCUAACAAGUGCUAACAACAAUUCUUCACUGCAUACAAAUC